rnacentral:rRNA from 1 species
GAUCUGGCUCAGGAUGAACGCUAGCGACAGGCUUAACACAUGCAAGUCGAGGGGCAGCACGAUGUAGCAAUACAUUGGUGGCGACCGGCGCACGGGUGAGUAACGCGUAUGCAACCUACCUAUCAGAGGGGAAUAACCCGGCGAAAGUCGGACUAAUACCGCAUAAAACAGGGGUUCCACAUGGAAAUAUUUGUUAAAGAAUUAUCGCUGAUAGAUGGGCAUGCGUUCCAUUAGAUAG